AUGGAUGAAGUCACGGUUCAAAUGUUCUCUUGUCAUGUCAAAAGUGCUGAGACUUUUCAGUUUUAUGGACAUCGCCAUCUUUAAUUAUUACGUUGGUCACUGUCGUUAUGGUUACUAGUAAGAGAAUACGGGCUUGACUCUUGCUGCACGUUCACGUGUACACAGUGUUGAGUAUCUUGAAUGGCCCAGUUAUGAUCCACCUUCAUUGUAUAAAACAUGCCAUUUUCAUGGACAUCUCCUUAUGUGUUCAGUGAAAGAAAGACAUACUGUACAGGUUUGGAACGACAUGAAGGUGACUCCAGCACUGGACUGUAUCUGCAGCCUCUUUGCAAACAGCCUUGAUCUUGAUCCUUAACCAUCAAGCUACCUCAACAUCAGAUGAGUAGGAUGUGUGUGGAUGUUUUACCCUUUCUUUUAUCGCUAACAAGCCUGUCACUUCCACAUUUAAAUGUGUUUGUUUUUGCUUCUGCCUUUGUAAGAGUGUGACCGUGAGAGAGAUGGGAUUUUAACACUCAUAGAUUGUUAUUAUUUGCGGUGAGUGAUGAUGACAGUUCUUUGAGGGAGUGAAAUUUGCGUUGUAUGAACUAUCUGUAUUCAUUCCGCUUAAUACAUACAGUUUGUGUUUAUCUGAAAACCAACAGCAUUAUACUGUAUCUACUGACUCUAAUGGACUCUUUUUGGAAGAAGGAUACUGCUGAGUGGCCUCUUCAAAUCAGCAUUGCAAAACAGCCCUCUAUACACAGAAUACAGGCCGACGAGAGACAAUUACUGCAUUCCAGCAGAGUGGCUGAGUGAAACCAGAACUUAUCACACGAUCAUGGCAGAGCCAAUAUCAGGAGUGAUGAGCGCAUCCAUGAGAAAAUAGAAAGGCAAUUAUAUCAUUUAAGAGGGCAUAAUGUUUUUUUUCUGCUACUGUUUCUCCUCUCAUAGUCCAAGAAUAAGGGUCCCUGAUGUGAGAUACCACUUUAGCCUGAGGGAAUGGUCACUUUCACAGUGAAAAUGUGAGUUAUGAGUGUGUCAAUUUGUGCACACAAAAUGCUCCACACAAUUCUAAAUUCUGUCAUUCAGAAAGGACAGUCUCAUAACGCAAAAGUCACUUUCGUUACAUUCAGAGGAUUCCGUCAAACAAUGGAAAGCUUUGGAUAUUAUCAUGUGACUGAAUGAUGGAAAACACAAAGUGUGUUUAACCGCAAUAUAAUUUAUUAACUUAUGUUUAGGUUGAUUGUUAUGAUUGUAUUUG